rnacentral:rRNA from 1 species
CACGUAGGGGCGCAAGCGUUUGUCCGGAAUUAUUGGGCGUAAAGAGCUCGUAGGCGGUCUGUUACGUCUGCUGUGAAAACCCAGGGCUUAACCCUGGGCUUGCAGUGGAUACGGGCAGACUAGAGGCAGGUAGGGGAGAAUGGAAUUCCCGGUGUAGCGGUGAAAUGCGCAGAUAUCGGGAGGAACACCGGUGGCGAAGGCGGUUCUCUGGGCCUGACCUGACGCUGAGGAGCGAAAGCGUGGGGAGCGAACAGG